rnacentral:miRNA from 10 species
UGUAAGUUUAUAUAGUCCCACAGU